AGCCGGGUCUUGCGCAAUGGACGAUUUGUAAAGUCCGCCAGGUCCGGAAGGAAGCAACGGUAGCAGAUUAACCCAUGUGCCGCAAGGGUGCCUGGCUAUC
rnacentral:SRP_RNA from 1 species